AUUUUGGGAAGCACUGCUUUUAAGGCAUCAGAUCCUGUCUGAUCUUGGAAGCUAAGCAGGAUCAGCUUUGGUUAGUACUUGAAUGGGACACCACAAGUGAAUGUCAGUUGCUAUAGUU
rnacentral:rRNA from 1 species